CUUGCUCUAUUGAAGUUAGUGGCGGACGGGUGAGUAACACGUGGGUAACCUGCCUCACAGCUGGGGAUAACAUCGAGAAAUCGAUGCUAAUACCGAAUGUGCUGAACAUCAUAAGAUGUUCAAGUGAAAGACGGUUUCUGCUGUCACUGUGAGAUGGACCCGCGCUGGAUUAGCUAGUUGGUAAGGUAAUGGCUUACCAAGGCGACGAUCCAUAGCCGACCUGAGAGGGUGAUCGGCCACAUUGGGACUGAGACACGGCCCAAACUCCUACGGGAGGCAGCAGUAGGGAAUCUUCGGCAAUGGACGAAAGUCUGACCGAGCAAGGCCGCGUGAGCGAAGAAGGCCUUCGGGUCGUAAAGCUCUGUUGUUAGAAAAGAACAUGGGUGAGAGUAACUGUUCACCCCUUGACGGUAUCUAACCUGAAAGCCACGGCUAACUACGUGCCAGCAGCCGCGGUAAUACGUAGGUGGCAAGCGUUGUCCGGAAUUAUUGGGCGUAAAGCGCGCGCAGGCGGUCUCUUAAGUCUGAUGUGAAAGCCCCCGGCUCA
rnacentral:rRNA from 1 species